rnacentral:rRNA from 1 species
GAUGAACGCUGGCGGCGUGCCUAAUACAUGCCAGUCGAGCGAACAGACGAGGAGCUUGCUCCUCUGACGUUAGCGGCGGACGGGUGAGUAACACGUGGAUAACCUACCUAUAAGACUGGGAUAACUUCGGGAAACCGGAGCUAAUACCGGAUAAUAUAUUGAACCGCAUGGUUCAAUAGUGAAAGACGGUUUUGCUGUCACUUAUAGAUGGAUCCGCGCCGCAUUAGCUAGUUGGUAAGGUAACGGCUUACCAAGGCAACGAUGCGUAGCCGACCUGAGAGGGUGAUCGGCCACACUGGAACUGAGACACGGUCCAGACUCCUACGGGAGGCAGCAGUAGGGAAUCUUCCGCAAUGGGCGAAAGCCUGACGGAGCAACGCCGCGUGAGUGAUGAAGGUCUUCGGAUCGGAAAACUCUGUUAUUAGGGAAGAACAAAUGUGUAAGUAACUAUGCACGUCUUGACGGUACCUAAUCAGAAAGCCACGGCUAACUACGUG